rnacentral:rRNA from 1 species
CCAAUAGCGUAUAUUAAAGUUGUUGCAGUUAAAAAGCUCGUAGUUGAACUUCGGGGUUUACCCAUUGGUCAGGCUUAAUUGUCUGUACUGGUGAGAUAAAUCUCUACCUUCUGAGGAACUUUCAUGUCAUUAAUUUGGUGUGAUUGGAAAUCAGGACUGUUACUUUGAAAAAAUUAGAGUGUUUAAAGCAGGCUAACGUCUGAAUACAUUAGCAUGGAAUAAUGAAAUAGGACGGACUGAUUCUAUUUCGUUGGUUUCUAGGAUCACCGUAAUGAUUAAUAGGGAUAGUUGGGGGCAUUAGUAUUCAAUUGUCAGAGGUGAAAUUCUUGGAUUUAUUGAAGACUAACUACUGCGAAAGCAUUUGCCAAGGAUGUUUUCAUUAAUCAAGAACGAAAGUUAGGGGAUCGAAGACGAUCAGAUACCGUCAUAGUCUUAACCAUAAACUAUGCCGACUAGGGAUCGGACGAAGUUAAUUUUAUAAUGACGCGUUCGGCACCUUACG